rnacentral:tRNA from 1 species
CAAAUUAAAGCUUUAAUGAAGCAUUUUAUUUACAUUAAAAAUAUAGUUUUUAUAACUUAAUUUGA